GCAUUGUGAGCAGGUAUACAGGCCCACAGAGCAUGCAGAUAAUUAUCUGUGACACCCAUGGUGCACUGUGAACAGGUAUACAGGCCAACAGAGCAUGCAGAUAAUUAUCUGUGACACCCAUUGUACACUGUGAGCAGGUAUACAGGCCAACAGAGCAUGCAGAUAAUUAUCUGUGACACCCAUUGUACACUGUGAGCAGGUAUACAGGCCCACAGAGCAUGCAGAUAAUUAUCUGUGACACCCAUGGUGCACUGUGAGCAGGUAUACAGGCCCACAGAGCAUGCAGAUAAUUAUCUGUGACACCCAUGGUGCACUGUGAGCAGGUAUACAGGCCCACAGAGCAUGCAGAUAAUUAUCUGUGACACCCAUGGUGCACUGUGAGCAGGUAUACAGGCCAACAGAGCAUGCAGAUAAUUAUCUGUGACACCCAUGGUGCACUGUGAGCAGGUAUACAGGCCAACAGAGCAUGCAGAUAAUUAUCUGUGACACCCAUGGUGCACUGUGAGCAGGUAUACAGGCCCACAGAGCAUGCAGAUAAUUACCUGUGACACCCAUGGUGCACUGUGAGCAGGUAUACAGGCCCACAGAGCAUGCAGAUAAUUAUCUGUGACACCUAUUGUACACUGUGAGCAGGUAUACAGGCCCACAGAGCAUGCAGAUAAUUAUCUGUGACACCCAUGGUGCACUGUGAGCAGGUAUACAGGCCCACAGAACAUGCAGAUAAUUAUCUGUGACACCCAUGGUGCACUGUGAGCAGGUAUACAGGCCAACAGAGCAUGCAGAUAGUUAUCUGUGACACCCAUUGUACACUGUGAGCAGGUAUACAGGCCAACAGAGCAUGCAGAUAAUUAUCUGUGACACCCACUGUACACUGUGAGCAGGUAUACAGGCCCACAGAGCAUGCAGAUAAUUAUCUGUGACACCCCUUGUACACUGUGAGCAGGUAUCAGUACUGACUACUUUUUAUAUUGAGUCAUAUGUUUUAUGUGAAUUACU